rnacentral:lncRNA from 1 species
UGGCUCGGAUCCUGCGUUGCUGUGGCUCUGGCAUAGGCCGGUGGCUACAGCUCCAAUUCGACCCCUAGCCUGGGAACCUCCAUAUGCCGUGGGAGCGGCCCAGGAAAUAGCAAAUAGACAAAAAAAAAAAAAAAAAAAAAAAAAAACCCCUCUCUGGAGGAGUCAACAUUCCAGCAAGAGGAGGCAGAUGAUAAACAACACACGUCCUAAGAAAAUUCUUUCCUCUUUUAGAAAGUGGUGUGGCCCUAAGAAGAUAAAAGAAAAAGAAAGUGGAAAUGCUCAGCAAUGCCUUGGACGCCAGGAUGAAUUUAGGAAGAGGUCAGCUCAAAAGAGGCACAGGAGGAGGAACAAGGGGGAAGAGUGUCCAGAGAAAAAGAGGAGCCACCCCUGAGGAAGAGCCACCCCUUGCAGAGGGCCCCUCUGGGCCAGCAAGCGACUGGGAGAUUGGAGAACACAGAAAUUCAUCAAACCAAGUGUAUUCAGAAGGGCCUACCACCAACACGUGUACCCACAGGAGGUCAUACCGAGAGUCAAACAAGCCUUGUUCUCCGCAGGCAGGUGGACUCUGGCUAAGGGCAGCCCCGUGGGACCUUGCUGCCGCCCCGCGCUCCCCCAUCCCUCCGCCACCAGUGCCUCACACGCUGCUCGACCCCAUCCUCAGC